rnacentral:rRNA from 1 species
ACAGAUUGCUGACGACCGGCGCACGGUGAGUAACGCGUAUACAAUUGCCUUUACUGAAGAAUAGCCCAGAGAAAUUGGAUUAAUGCUUCAUAGUAUUAUUUGGUCACCUGGCCGAGUAAUUAAAGCUCCGGCGGUAAAAGAUGAGUAUGCGUCCUAUUAGCUAGAUGGUAAGGUAACGGCUUACCAUGGCGACGAUAGGUAGGGGUCCUGAGAGGGAGAUCCACCCACACUGGUACUGAGACACGACCAGACUCUACGGGAGGCAGCAGUGAGGAAUAUUGVGCAAUGGARGCAACUCUGACCCAGCCAUGCCGCGUGCAGGAAGACUGCCCUAUGGGUUGUAAACUGCUNUUAUACAGGAAGARACUUACCCACGUGUGGGUAACUGACGGUACUGUAAGAAUAAGGACCGGCUAACUCCGUGCCAGCAGCCGCGGUAAUACGGAGGGUCCAAGCGUUAUCCGGAAUCAUUGGGUUUAAAGGGUCCGUAGGCGGGCAAUUAAGUCAGAGGUGAAAUCCCACAGCUCAACUGUGGAACUGCCUUUGAUACUGGUUGUCUUGAGUUACAGUGAAGUAGAUAGAAUAUGUAGUGUAGCGGUGAAAUGCAUAGAUAUUACAUAGAAUACCGAUYGCGAAGGCAGUCUACUAACUGUANACUGACGCUAAUGRASGAAAGCGU